GAACGCACCUUGCGCUCCUUGGUUAUUCCUUGGAGCAUGCCUGUUUGAGUAUCAUGAGCAAAUCUCAAAGUCGAUUCCUGUUGUUAAUUCAAUUGGUUUUUUGCUUUGGACUUGGAGGCCUUGCAGAUUUCACGUCUGCUCCUCUUAAAUGCAUUAGCUGGAUCUCAGUAUUAUGCUUUGGUUCCACUCGGCGUGAUAAUUAUCACUCGCUGAGGACACUGUUAAAAAGGUGGCCAGGAAAAUACUGAUUGAACCGCUUCUAAUGGUCUAUUAAUUACCCUUAAGUUUGAUCUCAAAUCAGGUAGGACUACCCGCUGAACUUAAG
rnacentral:misc_RNA from 1 species